CGGGGUGGAAGUUUGAUUCGAGUGGCGGACGGGUGAGUAACGCGUGAACAAUCUGUCCCGGACAGGGGAAUAACACUUGGAAACAGGUGCUAAUACCGCAUAAGACCACGCCCUCGCAUGGGGGAGGGGUAAAAGGAGGAAUCCGGUUCGGGGUGAGUUCGCGUCCGGAUUAGAUAGUUGGUGAGGUAACGGCCCACCAAGUCGACGAUCGGUAGCCGACCUGAGAGGGUGAUCGGCCACAUUGGAACUGAGAGACGGUCCAAACUCCUACGGGAGGCAGCAGUGGGGAAUAUUGGGCAAUGGGGCCGAAAGCCUGACCCAGCAACGCCGCGUGAGUGAAGAAGGCUUUCGGGUUGUAAAGCUCUGUUAUAGGGGACGAAGGAAGUGACGGUACCCUACAAGGAAGCCCCGGCUAACUACGUGCCAGCCGCCGC
rnacentral:rRNA from 1 species